GGCUAACCCCCGGUCACCUGAGCUAACAGGCUAACCCCCGGUCACCUGAGCUAACAGGCUAACCCCCGGUCACGGAGCAGUCACCGGAGUCUGUGGGGGAGUUCUCACUCACAUGUCGGAUGAAUAUCGUCGUGUGUCGUUCGGCUGCUUGUCCCGACGGAGAGGUGGAAGACGUCAGUGCUGCAGUGUCUGUGUUUCCCUCUGGGUGACCCAGACAGCCUGCACCCGUGGAUGACUUCACUUCAGCUCUGACUCCAGGGUCUGACGGGCCUGAAGGACAAAGCUGUGCUGACCGUGUUCUGUCUCUUAUGGCAAAGAAGAAAAUAAAACAUCUAAAGUUGAUCAAAUCAGAAAGUAAAAGAUGGACAUUGUUGUGAUUGUUGUUUUACCAACCAUAAUGAGUGUGGAAAUUGACUCAAUAUUAUCAGAUUUAUGCUGAAAUCAAUGUCACAUCUGUGGGAUAACAUGGAACGAAGCAGCAACACAUUGGAUACAGACAGUCUGCAAAUACUUUUUACAGAUACUGUACAAUAAUUAUAAUUACAAUACUUUGUAAUAUCCAAGACUGGUACUUACAGUUUAUUCUGUGUUCAGCAGGUGGAAGCACCACAGAUGAC